UCCAAGGGGCGCAAGCACACGAGUUACAGAAAAGGAAGUGUUUAAGUCUAAAAACUAAAGGAAUGAAAAUUACAUAUUCUCUGUUCGAGAAUUUUGGAUUCGGUCCUUUGCUCCUAAGUUCUUUCUCCUUUUUAUACUUCAUAGGCGAUCCCUUUGUGAUUAACUGCUCUAAAAAACUGCUUGAUCGCCCUAUAACUACCCACUUUCUUUGUAGUGGUCAUUUUGUCAUGAAACUGUCCUUUUAACUGCUGCCAUUAUCUUGCAUCG
rnacentral:lncRNA from 1 species